rnacentral:rRNA from 1 species
UUAAGUCGACCGCCUGGGGAGUACGGCCGCAAGGUUAAAACUCAAAUGAAUUGACGGGGGCCCGCACAAGCGGUGGAGCAUGUGGUUUAAUUCGAUGCAACGCGAAGAACCUUACCUGGUCUUGACAUCCACGGAAGUUUUCAGAGAUGAGAAUGUGCCUUCGGGAACCGUGAGACAGGUGCUGCAUGGCUGUCGUCAGCUCGUGUUGUGAAAUGUUGGGUUAAGUCCCGCAACGAGCGCAACCCUUAUCCUUUGUUGCCAGCGGUCCGGCCGGGAACUCAAAGGAGACUGCCAGUGAUAAACUGGAGGAAGGUGGGGAUGACGUCAAGUCAUCAUGGCCCUUACGACCAGGGCUACACACGUGCUACAAUGGCGCAUACAAAGAGAAGCGACCUCGCGAGAGCAAGCGGACCUCAUAAAGUGCGUCGUAGUCCGGAUUGGAGUCUGCAACUCGACUCCAUGAAGUCGGAAUCGCUAGUAAUCGUGGAUCAGAAUGCCACGGUGAAUACGUUCCCGGGCCUUGUACACACC